ACACACAAAUAUGAAUAAAAUCUGAUUUAAAAGGAAAGUUCAAAUUUGAUUUGAAUGACAUUUCUUAUCUUAAUGAGAUUGGAUCUCAUCCCAACUACCUCCAAGCCAUACCUUAAAAGAGCUCUCUUUUGUGUGACAAAAGAAAGACUCUUUUUACUAUGAGAUCUGAUUUUUCAUCGUGAAAAAUAGGUGCAGUGUGGAGAAUAUUUAGACAUCUGGUGUGGGACGGCAGUGCUUGCUAAAGUCCAAUCUUUCUUGGACUCUUCAAACCCUAACAACCACUCCUAUUUAAAUGGAUGGUGGGAUGCCUCCUCUAGGAGAUUGGCAUGAGAAAGAUUGAGGAGAGGUGUCUUCUCUUAGGGUGUGGGGUCUUAGGAUUUCAUCCUAGGAUUUUAGGUGAGAGA
rnacentral:lncRNA from 1 species